UUUUUUUUGCCUUUUACCAGAAGUCUUUUUAAAUCUGAUUUCUAAAAACCUUUUAUAUCAACAUUUAAGUUUGAAAUAUUUUUUAAGUUUCUAAAGACUUAUUUUUAUGUAUACUAUGUAUUCAAGUGUUUUACCUACACAUAUGACUGUGCUUCAUGUGUAUGUGGUAUAUACAAGCACCCCAAAAGAGGGCAUCAGAUCCCCUGAAACUGAAGGUACAGAUGAUUUGUGAUCCACCAUGUGGGUGCUGGGAACAGAAGCCAGGUCCUUUGGAAGAGCUCUUAACCACUGAGCCCUCUUUCCAGCCCCUUCUUAAACUUUUAAUCCAUUUUUGUGGCUUUUCAUUCUGUGCACACACAGAACUUUUUGACUUCUGCCUUAAAGCUGUUACUUUAUCUCUCCUUCUAACUAGAACUUUGUUGAGUCCAUGCAUGUGAGAAUCCUUUUGCCUCGGCCUCCUGAAUGCUGGUAUCGUCUAUAAGGACAUGCUGUGUCUGGCUUACGUACUUUUUUUGUGUGUUACAACAGGUUUUCAGCCUCGAUACUGCUGACAUCUUGGACCAGAAGUCUGUAUAUUAACAUUAAUCUAAGUAAUCCUUCCUAUACUGAAGGCUGAGGACACGGCUUGUGAUAUGUGAAAACUUCCUCUCUAGAUUGACUCAAACUGCUGCAAAGUGCUGGGUCUUACAGGCAGCUGAAGGAUGUUUCUGAAGAGAACCCUCUGAGCUCAGUCACUCCCAUGGUGAUGCCAUGCAUCCUGUCUACUAAGUGACACCACCUCAUGGAUGACACCCCUACAGAGUCCUUCUCAGGAACAGCUGGUGAUCUGUACUCCUACUGGCUGUCAGCUGGGAAGUCACAUGCACGUGCAGGCCAAGUGGAUGUGCUGAGGCUCUUUCUCUGCUCUGUCCUCCCACGAUGCCUCACCAAGUGACCUUUAGUCUCACUUUAUCUUGGCUUAUAGGUGUGUUUAUGAACUGAGCACAUUUUUCUGGAAACAGGAUAGGUAUAUAUAAAUACACUCUGAGACGCCAUGUGAAGAGAAUGUUAUUUUAGAAGGCUAAGCCUGUUAAAGCUUUCAUAAAGUAUCGUGAACAAAGGGGAGAGCUGCCACAUUAUCACCACUCAGCAUGCUUGGCGGAGUCAUCUUUGACCCAACCUUAAUAUUCUUGGCUUCUCUUGCUUUUCGGGUUUCUCACUGUAAAGUAAGAAAACAAGGCAGCUCAGGCGGUGAGUGGCUCAGCCUGGCCAAGUUCAUGCUUCAACUCUAAGAAAACCCAAAAUGCUGGGAACGGCAUUCUAACCAUCGGUUCCCGGGAGGAGGUUCAGAGCUGGGAGCAGUAGAACGCUGCACGUGACUCCAGGUGAUCCUCUGGGUGAGAUCCAUGCUCCGCCCCAUGUUACCCAACACUGAAGCCUAAGCUCAGUCUUCCGGCUGCUUGUGGGUGUCAGUUUACCUCCUCAGCUGUGACCAAAGUAAAAUGAUCACAUCAACUCCGCCAGGCAGGAGCAGCUAGCUAAUCUCCAGGUCUUUUCGUUGGGGCAGCUCUGGUACCAAGUAGCUUCGUGCUUGUCUUUAUCAGUGGCCCUCAAAUCUCUGCCAUCACAGCUCACAUUUGGCCAGAGCACCUGCCCAGGAUUUCAGAGCCUAUUAGAGCUCAGAAUGCCAAGUAGUUAACCUGAGAGGGGAAGUGGUCAGUAACUGUGUGUGAGUGACUGACCUCUGGGGACGAGAACUCCCCUUCUCACUGUCUAACUCUCUAAUGACCAAGCAGCCAUUAAGAUGUUCAGGCUUCAGGGGUUCAGGAGAAGGAGGUGGGUAAAGUGUGUGCCAUUUGAAGCAUGAGGACAUGAGUUGAGACCCACCAGAACCCACACAGAAGUGCAUAUCUACAAUACCAGUGCUUCUCCAGAGAGAUGGGGUGGACAAGGAGAACCCCGGUAGUUCACAGCUGAGCUAGCCUGGUGUGAUGCAGUGGCAAACAACAAAGAGAGCCUAUUUCCAACAAGGGGGCGAUGAGAUGAGAGCCCCAGCUGAGGGGGUCGGUCCUCUGACCUCCAUACCUGCACCCACACAGGCAUACACGUGUGUGCAUACACACACACAUAAACGAUCAGAAAAAAUGUUCGGUAAAGAGACAUUCCUCGAUCAAAACAAAGCUUUCCUUGUUGCAGAACCUUUUGCCUACUUCCGACUCCUCCCAGUUGCGCCUUCAUGAUACUUACAUGGGUAUGGAACCUUAAACCAUGGGGCUACCAGAAGUACACCCUUCCUGGCGUCUGUGCGUGCAUAGUAGCCAUAGUUGGUGCUGUUGGAAGGGAAGACAUCAGUCACCGUGAAGAUGAAGCAGAGCAGCCAGGACACGAGGAUAGCCAGGAUUAUCUGGAGUGGUCAAGGGCAGAAACUUGGUUAGGUAAUAAAUACAUCCUUUCCUACUGGGUCACCACCGCCCCGAGCCCGCCAUCCUCAAUACUAUGUAGACCAGCUGUUCCAGUGGAAUUGCACCGAGAGGUUUAUGCGGUAAUUCACUUUAUCUUCCCGAAGUCUGCCAGUAAAAGAACAGGCAGCAUGCCUGCAGAGACCAUGUGGGGUCCCACCUCAGAGCCACUGACCAGAGUCCUUCUGUGGCAUUACAAAAUAAUGUGAUCUUGGAACUGGAACCUUAAACGGCAUCUAGACUGAGCAGGAAUGCCUGGGUUGACUACAGAACUUCCUAAUUCCAGGACCCUGACACUUCCUCAGCCUGAGGCCCAAGUGGCUGCCAGGUCAGAAGCCAUUUCUCCUCCUCCCAAGUGGACUGUAUGAAGAAAGCAAUACAGAGACCCAGGAUGCGCCUAACCACCGAACAGGGGUCUAGUCCUCUAUCUCCAGUGGCUUUUCACUUGCCACCUAAGAAAGAAGACAGUGCCAUGAGAAACGGUGGCCUUGCCAUUGGAGCGCACAGCUUUGAGAUCGGUGAGCACCCAAAGGUCCUUUGGGAACCGCUCUCUGCUGCCAGUCUCAUCUAAACAAUGUAGCUUCCCAGCACAGCUCACUUGCAUGAGACUUGGCAUAACUUCAAAAGGCAGGAGCAAGGACAAUUGCCACCUGACCAAACCUGACAACUAUCCCUUCUCCACACAUCACUGUUGCCUGCCUUUGGAAUACUGGGACUGUUCUCAUGUCUCAAACUCUGAUCUAGAAUAAUCACUUAAUUAGCCCUCACAUGAACUGAACAAAACUUAAAGUGUCUGAACAUUCUUCUCUCUUCUCAAGUUAGUGUGACUGUUCCAAGUAUCCCACAAGGCUGCCCCACACAGUGGUAAGAACUGUCCCCACCCCUGGAGUGGGUUCCCUCAGAAUACUUACAGCAUGGCAAUGCCCCAGUGCUUCCCCGCUCUCUCUCCUGCUGCCUGGAAACCAGAGAGGCCAAUGAGGGCCACGGUGGGUGUGAUGGUCAGGGGUCCAAUAUACCUCAGCAGAGCCCCUGGCAGGCCAAGGAGGCCGAUGACCACUUCUAUCAAUGAGGACAUGAUGAUAGCUCCCUGGAUCUGAAAGAAAAAAGGGCAGACUUUGAGAGUGACGUCAAACACUCAGAAUGUCACCUGCAACCACAACUCCCAUCUCUGCAAGGCAACAAGUCAACAUAUCCUACAGCAGCAUGACAGCUGGGACAGCCCCAGGGCCUACAGAAAAGGUUUCUGGGGAGGUAACUGAGGCCUGGUAAACGAUUACGUCAGGCUAGCUGCAGAAAUGGGUCCUGGGGACAAAUCUGCCUGCCUUCUCACUGCAGGGUGAGAUGGACAAAUCUGCCAGUUCUCAGACAAGCACAUCUACAACCCGGCCCUGCAGGCCACUUCAGCAGUCAGCUUUACAAGACCAAGCCCCAGGAAGACAUUCAAAGGACAGAGUUGCUGACAAAUUCUAAAAGAACGUCUUUGUCACAUAGAAUGACAUUUGUACUAAGUCUAAAAAUUUUAUGGUGACAAUAUGAAUAUAUACACAUUCAUCAGCUGGUUUUCUGUACCCGAGGACAGCUCCAAUUAACUCUGCUCAAAUGUACUUUGACCUCCCCAAAAUCACCUUUCUUUCACAAAUAGGUAUGACUACCAACUUGCUUGUGCUGAGAUGUCCAUGUUAGUCAAGCUACCCUGGAUGUGCCCAUCAUGGAGCUUCCAGAGACAAUUAGAUAGUCAAUGGAUGGCUCAUAAUAUGAGGACAUUAUUGAGAGACAGGGCCUUAGCUGAAGGAAGUGGACACUGUAAUGUGUCCCUGGGAACUCUAUCUUGCCCUGGCUCUCUGCAUCCCUUUCUCUCUUCCUAGCUGCCAUGGGCUUCCAUGACCUCUCCACCAAGAUGGACAAAGCCCCUCAUACUGAGCUUUCUCUUUUCAAGCUGUUUUCAACAUCCCAACACAGCAACAAGGCAGCUAACAACGGACAGACACAUAGCAGCCAGACCUCUUCCGCUGACAGCCAAUAAGCCUCACUCACUCACAGUCAUCACACUGGAGGACGUGAACACAAGCCUCACUCACUCAGUCACUCACAGCUAUCACACUGGAGGACGUGAACACAAGCCUCACUCAGUCACUCACAGGCAUCACACUGGAGGACG